GAAAAAUACAUUAUAACACGUGACGGAUAACCCAAAGGUAAUGCACAUUUUGCCUAAAAAUGAUGAUUCAGGUUCACCAGUUAAAAAGAAAACUAUCAAUUAAGCACAAGCAGUAAGCUUAAAAAUCAUCCAACGAGGCAUCGGAUUAAAAGAGGAAGAAAAGUUUUUAAAAAAACCAUCGAAAUCAAUAAUUGGCAGAUUUCAAACCAACUAGAAUCACAAAACUUCACACAAAAUCAGCUGUCACUGUACAAAUAAGUUGGAAAUGAGAGAAUGGGUUAUCUUCAAAACAGCAGAAACGGAGUGAUACAAUAAUUACAAAGACCAAAAGCAACAACAUUUCUGAAGCUCAAAGUCUUCAAAACCAC
rnacentral:misc_RNA from 1 species